rnacentral:rRNA from 1 species
CGGGCGUCUUAACAUGCAAGUCGAACGGCAAGGGGGAGCUUGCUCCCUCCUAGAGUGGCGGACUGGUGAGUAACACGUGGAUGACGUACCUUUCGGAUGGGGACAGCCGGCAGAAAUGCCGGAUAAUACCGAAUAAAGUCCUAUGGAAUGAAGGCAUAGGAUGAAAGCGGCUUCGGCCGCGCCGAGAGAGCGGUUUGCGACCUAUCAGCUAGUUGGCGGGGUAAAGGCCCACCAAGGCGACGACGGGUAUCCGGCCUGAGAGGGUGAACGGACACAUUGGGACUGAGAUACGGCCCAGACUCCUACGGGAGGCAGCAGCUAAGGAUAUUCCGCAAUGGGGGGAACCCUGACGGAGCGACGCCGCGUGGACGAUGAAGGCCGGAAGGUUGUAAAGUCCUUUUGGUUGUGAAGAAUAAGCAAGGCAGGCAAUGGUUUUGCGGUGACGGUAGCAACUGAAUAAGCACGGCUAAUAC